AAAGGUCUAAACGGAACGGAGAAGAAGAAAAGCGAACAAGGUCAAAUCAAAUCAAAUCAACUCAACUCGAGUAAACGGUAUUUUUAUGGUAAAUCGGCCACACUCGUCGACGGUGAUUCACCGGUAACCGGUAAACAAUCCCUUCAUUGACUUAUGAUUAUGAAGAAGGAGAAUAUAAAGACCAAUGGAUUUAUCCCCUCUUCUUUCAACUUCAUAUCUUCUUGCAUUAAGACUGCCUCUUCCGGUGUUCGUUCCCAGCGCAAGGACCAGGUGCUUUGGGCCUGCUUUGACAGGCUAGAGCUUGCUCCAUCUUCUUUCAAACGUGUUCUGUUACUUGGUUAUUCCAAUGGCUUUCAAGUUCUUGAUGUGGAGGAUGCCUCUAAUAUUAGGGAACUUGCCUCAAAGCAUGACGACCCAGUUUCAUUUUUACAGAUGCAACCCAUCCCUGAAAGAUCUGAGGGUCGUGAAGGAUUUAGAGCAUCACAUCCUUUACUCUUGCUUGUUGCAUGUGAUAAAUCAAAGAUUCCAGGUACAAUGCAAAAUAGCAGAGAUGGACUUCUCAGAGAUCAUACUGAAGCUCAAGCUGAAAAUAUUGUCAGCUCAACUACGGCGGUUCGAUUUUACUCACUAAGGUCCCAUACCUAUGUUCAUGCUCUGAGAUUUCGUUCAACUGUCUACAUGGUUAGAUGCAGUUCUCAAAUAGUGGCUGUGGGUCUUGCUACGCAAAUAUACUGUUUUGACGCUCUUACUCUUGAGAAUAAAUUCAGUGUUCUCACUCACCCUGUACCUCAGUUGGGAGACCAAGGAAUGACUGGGGUUAAUAUUGGGUAUGGUCCCAUGGCUGUAGGCCCCCGAUGGUUAGCUUAUGCUUCCAACAAUCCAUUGCUAUCAAACACAGACCGCCUUAGUCCUCAGAAUCUGACACCUCCUGCUAUCAGCCCAUCAACAUCACCCAGCAAUGGAAAUCUGGUAGCCCGAUAUGCCAUGGAAUCCAGCAAGCACUUGGCUGCUGGACUGAUCAACCUCAGUGACAUGGGGCAUAAAACAUUGUCUAAAUACUAUCACGAUCUUAUACCUGAUGGAUCCAGUUCUCCUGUAUCAUCAAAUUCAAGCUGGAAAGUUAGUCGGUUUACAUCACAUCCUACUGAAACAGACACGGCUGGUUUGGUUGUUGUCAGAGAUUUUGUUUCUAGAGCUGUUGUGGCACAAUUCAGGGCCCAUACUAGUCCAAUAUCCGCUUUAUGUUUUGACCCAAGUGGGACACUUCUAGUUACUGCAUCAGUUCAUGGAAACAACAUUAAUAUAUUUCAGAUUAUACCAUCCUCUUCAAGGAAUGGAUCAGGUUGUCAAAGUGGUGAUUGGAGCUAUUCUCAUGUGCACCUAUACAAGCUCCACCGUGGCAUCACGUCAGCUGUUAUACAAGAUAUUUGUUUUAGCCAUUCCAGUCAGUGGAUUGCCAUUAUUUCUUCCAAGGGCACUUGUCAUAUUUUUGUUCUUGCCGCUUUUGGUGGUGACACAGUUCUUCAGAUACGGAAUCAUGACUCAGAGGGGGCUGUUCUUUUUACAACUUUACCUCUACCAUGGUGGUUCACUCCACGUUUCACAGUAAACCAGCAACAGUCUUGCCCAGCACCCCCGCCUCCUGUUGUCCUCUCUGUGGUUAGCAGAAUAAAAAAUAAUAAUGCCGGAUGGCUCAAUACAGUUAGUAACGCUGCAUCUUCUGCUGCCGGAAAAAUCUCUAUUCCUUCUGGUGCUGUUUCUGCUGCCUUUCAUAGUUCCAUACCUCAUGAUGCACACAGUGCAUUAUCUAAAAUUCAUGCUCUGGAGCAUUUGUUGGUUUAUACCCCUUCUGGUCAUUUAAUUCAAUAUAGAUUACUACCAUCAAUGGGGGCAGAGUCUAUUGGAACUGUUCCAAGAACAGAUCCAGUUCCUUCAGCUCAGAUACGAGAAGAGGAUUUGCAAGUGAAAGUUGAACCUGUUCAAUGGUGGGAUGUCUGUAGGAGACAUGAUUGGCCAGAAAAAGAGGUAAAUAUAUCAGGGAAUAGUCUGGAAGCUGCAGAAAUUAUUUUGGAUACUUCGGAUUACCAAGAUAGCAGUGUUGGGAACAAUAAUUCUAUUAAACUUCAUGAGCAAUGCCACUUUUCAAAUGCGGAGGUACAAAUAAGCUCUGGGAGGAUACCAAUUUGGCAGAAGUCUGAGGUGUCUUUCUUUGUGAUUAGUCAUUUGGAGGCCAAGGAGCUGAAUUUAUCUGAACUUAGUGCUGGUGGAGAGAUUGAAAUCGAAAAUAUUCCUAUAAAUGAGGUUGAAAUGAAGGAUUUGUUGCCAAUCUUUAAUCAAUUCCAUGAAAUUCAGUCUACUUGGGUUGACGGAGGUAUUGUUAUGGGAAGAUGCUCUAGCUCUUCAUCUGAUUCCCAUGGAGCUGAAGAGAAGUUGUCAGAAGAUGCUGUAAUUUCCCAUUCAAAGUUGAGAAUACCUAGCUCAGCUUUAAAGGCAGAUGUUGGUUUGUCAGCAUAUUUUUCUUCAUCAGUUGAUUUGUCUGGAAAUGAGAUUAAUGGCAAGAACAGAGAGGAAGUUGUGUUGGAAUCACCUCUGUCAAGCCUGGAAACUGUUAACAUGGAUGCCGUAUCUGCAGGUGCAGCCCAUUUUGCUCAUAGUGUAACUACUCAAGUUAAAUCAGCAAAAGGUGGCAAGCCUAGUGACAAUUUAAAUUCAAGUUCUAGUGGUUAUAACUUGAAUGUGAACCUUACUCGUGAGGAGCCAAUACAUGACUCACCUGACUUUGAGCAAUUUUUUCAAGAAGGUUAUUGUAAAGCGUCAGUUGACUGUCAUAAAUCAGCAGAAGUUGUUACUGACAUGGAUUAUAGCAGUCCAUCUGGCAGGGAGAAAUCUGAGGAAGAUAGUGAUAAUGAUGACAUGCUUGGUGGUGUAUUUGACUUCUCCGAGGAAGGUUGAUGACUACUUUUUUCAUGCUUGCUUCUCUCUUCAAGUUGUUGUAAACUGGUGGUGUAAAGGAAUUUUAAUUGACAAAUACAGGUGAUCUCCUUGCAACAAGCUAAAUGCUACUGACCAUUGAUUGAAGGAAUUGUAUUCCUUCCCAGGCGAAUGAUUCUUCUUACCUUCUAAUUUCGACGUAAAUGUUGUAUAUUGAAAUUCAUAAUUACAAAUUAUUUGUGUGGGUACUGGGCAGGUUCUUUAUAUGUUCGUAAAAUAUUAUUUUUUUCAUACGGUGAAGGUGAAGGUGAAGUGGGAAAAAACAGUCAGAGAGGGAGGCAGGGAAGAGAGAGGAAGGGAAAUAGAAAUAAAGAAGGAAAGAAACUAGAGAAUAUAAAUUACUUGUUACUCUACUCUAUUCUGCAUCAUUCAUGCAGGAUUCUUUAUUUAGCAUAGAAUGCUU